rnacentral:rRNA from 1 species
GCUUACGGCCAUACCACCCUGGGCACGCCCGAUCUCGUCUGAUCUCGGAAGCUAAGCAGGGUCGGGCCUGGUUAGUACUUGGAUGGGAGACCGCCUGGGAAUACCAGGUGCUGUAAGCUUUU